AAGAGAGGAGCUUGCUCUUCUUGGAUGAGUUGCGAACGGGUGAGUAACGCGUAGGUAACCUGCCUUGUAGCGGGGGAUAACUAUUGGAAACGAUAGCUAAUACCGCAUAACAAUGGAUGACACAUGUCAUUUAUUUGAAAGGGGCAAUUGCUCCACUACAAGAUGGACCUGCGUUGUAUUAGCUAGUAGGUGAGGUAAUGGCUCACCUAGGCGACGAUACAUAGCCGACCUGAGAGGGUGAUCGGCCACACUGGGACUGAGACACGGCCCAGACUCCUACGGGAGGCAGCAGUAGGGAAUCUUCGGCAAUGGGGGCAACCCUGACCGAGCAACGCCGCGUGAGUGAAGAAGGUUUUCGGAUCGUAAAGCUCUGUUGUAAGUCAAGAACGGGUGUGAGAGUGGAAAGUUCACACUGUGACGGUAGCUUACCAGAAAGGGACGGCUAACUACGUGCCAGCAGCCGCGGUAAUACGUAGGUCCCGAGCGUUGUCCGGAUUUAUUGGGCGUAAAGCGAGCGCAGGCGGUUUGAUAAGUCUGAAGUUAAAGGCUGUGGCUCAACCAUAGUUCGCUUUGGAAACUGUCAAACUUGAGUGCAGAAGGGGAGAGUGGAAUUCCAUGUGUAGCGGUGAAAUGCGUAGAUAUAUGGAGGAACACCGGUGGCGAAAGCGGCUCUCUGGUCUGUAACUGACGCUGAGGCUCGAAAGCGUGGGGAGCGAACAGGAUUAGAUACCCUGGUAGUCCACGCCGUAAACGAUGAGUGCUAGGUGUUGGAUCCUUUCCGGGAUUCAGUGCCGCAGCUAACGCAUUAAGCACUCCGCCUGGGGAGUACGACCGCAAGGUUGAAACUCAAAGGAAUUGACGGGGGCCCGCACAAGCGGUGGAGCAUGUGGUUUAAUUCGAAGCAACGCGAAGAACCUUACCAGGUCUUGACAUCCCGAUGCUAUUUCUAGAGAUAGAAAGUUACUUCGGUACAUCGGUGACAGGUGGUGCAUGGUUGUCGUCAGCUCGUGUCGUGAGAUGUUGGGUUAAGUCCCGCAACGAGCGCAACCCCUAUUGUUAGUUGCCAUCAUUCAGUUGGGCACUCUAGCGAGACUGCCGGUAAUAAACCGGAGGAAGGUGGGGAUGACGUCAAAUCAUCAUGCCCCUUAUGACCUGGGCUACACACGUGCUACAAUGGUUGGUACAACGAGUUGCGAGUCGGUGACGGCGAGCUAAUCUCUUAAAGCCAAUCUCAGUUCGGAUUGUAGGCUGCAACUCGCCUACAUGAAGUCGGAAUCGCUAGUAAUCGCGGAUCAGCACGCCGCGGUGAAUACGUUCCCGGGCCUUGUACACACCGCCCGUCACACCACGAGAGUUUGUAACACCCGAAGUCGGUGAGGUAACCUUU
rnacentral:rRNA from 1 species